CAGACACCUUCCUACCCUCCUCUGCAAGACCUGCCCAAGUGCUACCUGCCAGAGUUGCAGCCCUCUGACCUGUCCCCAAGAUGGGCACAGAAACUGGAGAUUCUGGCCGAGCCCGUGCACGACCUGAGCUGCUGCUCGCCCCUUCCGCCUCCUGCUCCCGCAGAUGACACUGAGGUCUCAGGGGUGUUGGAGCCGAGGGAGCCACCACCACCUGCUAACGUGGUCACCUACCAGCAGUUUGCCCAGGAUUUGUACAAGGAGGUGCUGUCCAAUGCUGAUAAAUACAAAACCAAGAAUACGAGGUCAUGUGUCCUACUGCAAGACUGCUCUGACCUUGACUGGAAAAGUAUCUACAAGCAAGAUUUUGAGCCCCGGAGAGGGAUCCAUGCUGGACUGUACACAGAGGAGAUGAGGCCUUCUCCCAUUUUCCCUGAAGAUCUCCGCUUCAAUGAGAACCGCUGGGUGACUGAGUAUGGAGACAGCUACAGCAUCUUCCUGAAGAACCUGGACUGGUCCUCUCCCAUCUCUGCCCAGUGGCUGCCCUUCGGGAAGGACGCGCGAUGGACGCCGCGGUGG
rnacentral:lncRNA from 1 species